rnacentral:rRNA from 1 species
GAUGAACGCUGGCGGCGUGCCUAACACAUGCAAGUCGAGCGAAAAGACCAGGAGCUUGCUCCCCUGACGUUAGCGGCGGACGGGUGAGUCACAUGUGGAUAACCUAACUCUAAGACUGGGAUAAUAACGGGAAACAGGAUCUAAUACCGGAUAAUAUAUCGAACCGGGUGGUUCACUAGUUAAAGACGGUUUUGCUGUCGCUUAUAGCCGGCUACGGGCCGCAUUAGUUGGUUGGGAAGGUAACGGCUUACCAAGGCUAGGAGGCGAAGCCGACCUGAACGGGUGAACGGCCACACGGGAUCAGAGACACGGCCCAGACACCGACGGGGGGCAGCGGUAGGGAAUCUUACGCGAGGGGGGAGAGCCGGACAGAGCAACGCGGGGUGAGGGAUGAAGGUCUUCGGAUGGUAAAGCGCUGUUGGUCGGAGAGAACUAAUGUGUAAUUAACUAUGCACGUAUUGACGGUACCGGAAGAAAAAGCCACGGCUAACUACGUG